ACUUGUCCCACUCUUGGCUUGCCAUCUAGCUAGUGAACCUAUGAGAAUAUUUUAUCAUUAUAUUUUGGAAACCAUCAUUUGUUUUUGUUUCUCAACUAGCUCGAAAUAACCUAAAUGGUACUACAUUGUAAAAACCAAGCUUUCGUUUACGUUUUACCACCGUAGAGUAUAUGUACCAAUUCUGGGUGCUUGUUUGUAAAUCUGAA